rnacentral:rRNA from 1 species
ACGGAGUAGAAAUACUUAGUGGCGGACGGGUGAGUAACGCGUGAGAAUCUGCCUUCAGGACGGAGACGACAGUUGGAAACGACUGCUAAGCCCCGAUGAACCGAAAGGGAAAAUAUUUAUAGCCUGAAGAUGAGCUCGCGUCCGAUUAGCUAGUUGGCGGAGUAAAAGCCCACCAAGGCGACGAUCGGUAGCUGGUCUGAGAGGAUGACCAGUCACACUGGGACUGAGACACGGCCCAGACUCCUACGGGAGGCAGCAGUGGGGAAUUUUCCGCAAUGGGCGAAAGCCUGACGGAGCAAUACCGCGUGAGGGAGGAAGGCUCUUGGGUUGUAAACCCCUUUUCUCAGGGAAGAACAAAAUGACGGUACCUGAGGAAUAAGCAUCGGCUAACUCCGUGCCAGCAGCCGCGGUAAUACGGAGGAUGCAAGCGUUAUCCGGAAUGAUUGGGCGUAAAGCGUCCGCAGGUGGCUUUGCAAGUCUGCUGUCAAAGCUCAGGGCUUAACCCUGAAUCGGCGGUGGAAACUGAAAGGCUAGAGUGCGGUAGGGGCAGAGGGAAUUCCCAGUGUAGCGGUGAAAUGCGUAGAGAUUGGGAAGAACACCAGUGGCGAAAGCGCUCUGCUAGACCGCAACUGACACUCAUGGACGAAAGCUAGGGGAGCGAAUGGGAUUAGAUACCCCAGUAGUCCUAGCCGUAAACGAUGGAUACUAGGCG